AACAAGUAAACACACUUAACUGAAACGGAUUGGUCGGAGGACCGCGCCGCUAUUCAAAAUCGCAAUAAUCGCAAUCGAUAAGUUUCGAAUAAUCGCAUUCGUCCAUCCCUUAUUAUUCCCUAUUUCCCUACGACUCGGGAUCGGGAAUCGGGAAUUUCCAUAGGGAAUUUCAGCUGAAUUAUGUCGGACCGGAUUAUCAGUGCCGAAGGAUGUAGGACCGGAUUUUCAGUGCCGAAAAUUCAGUGAGUUUGUAAUUUCUAAUCUUGUGUGGUUGCCGUAUUUUCUCGCCGGUAAUUUGCUCUUCCUUCCGUUCGAUAAUGUAAGUUCUUCUUUGUGAGUCAUUCGUGAGUGAUUCACGUGAAACUUUAGUGCUGUCAGCAUGCUGCGGGGUGUCUAGGCCAUUGGCCUUUCAUAAAUCUCUUCAGAAUCCUCCUGCCUUUCUUUUUUCAUGUUUUCCAUUAUUUCCAAUUUUACUCCUCGAGUUAGCAGAUGAACCAACUGCUAACCUUCCGUACCUAGGUUGCACAACAAGAGUACUGUGAAAAAGUAGUGACACAAUUACUGCCUAUUGAAGCCAAAGAAACCUACCUGGGGAAUCGUAAGGAAUUUUGAAUGCUUCCAACCAAAAAUGAAUCAGCCAAUGGGAACAUCGCCUUUGAAGAAAGUCGGUUCCAGCAGUACCUCCGAAGCCCAAGAAAACCACACCACAAGUUCCAAAGAGUUACCAGCUGUCUGGAGCAUGUGAGCCGUCAUAUUCAGUUCCACUCCAAACAGCAGCGCCAAAACAAAAAGAUCUGGCACGAACUCUGGUCCAGUGUAUUCAAAUAUACUCCCUGUAGCAGGUAUGAAUCAGUCAUAACCAGGGGUGCAGAAACUUCCCAACCACGCGACUGGCCGUUCGCGUGAAAUGGGGAAACCCAUAUGAAAACCUUAAAUCAAUAAUGGGCAAAGGCCUUGUCCACACGAUCGCGGUUCGCGGAACUUAGUUCGAGGGAACUUGUUCCCGGAACAAGUUUUAGCUGAGCUAAAGACUUAUUCCUCCAAAACCCAGAACUUCCCCUGUACUCCGAGCUUCUACAUAUUUUUCUUUUGAUGUGAAUUUGUUGUUUUUGUUUCUUACGUCCUUUACAUGUCUUGACAUAUAUUUUUGUUACUUUGGCGGCCGUAAUAAUCUAUUAUUUUGCAAUAAUUGUAUAGUUUUAUUGAAGUUCCGGUUCCAGUUCAGGCGAAUUCGUGUGAACACACGCCUCGUUUUAAGGAAUAAGUGCCAGGAACUGAACAGUUCGUCGAAUAAGUUCCUCGAACCACGCUCGUGUGGACAAGGCCUAAGUGCCAAAAAGUCAAGUUUCAGUUAUUCAACAUUUAGUUCCCACAGGUGCCCAGCACAUACCACGCACGCUACCUAUCGGGGCACUUUACACACUACUAUCAUGGUCGUGGCACUCAGCCCGCUUCACGGGUUGUUUACCUUGGUACAUAGAAGGCUAUGUAGACUGCAUUUUGCAAUUUGGACCUCUUAAUUCUGGCUCAUCUGAAAAAACACUUAUGUGCAUAGGGAAACUAAUGGCACAUACGUUGUUUUAAAACUGGGCCGGAAUUUAUAGGUCCAAAUUGCAAAAUGUAGUCCAUUUGAGGUAUAACUCGAUUUUCAUGUUUUUUGGCACUCAGCCCGUUAUUGAUUGAAGGUCUUCAUGUGAGGAUGAGAAAAUUGGGGGAACCUUGGGAGUUUUUUUUUUUAGGGUGUAGGGGGAACUUGACUGUUGAUGCGCUGUUUUGGGGAGUAAAACAUUCAAGCGCGCUGUUUUUCGGGGAACCAAACUGUUGACCGCGCUGUUUUGCGGGAACCCAACUGUCGACCGCGUUUCUUUAUUUGUAGGGCAAAAUUCUGCGAAAACUUAAAAUGGGGGAACCUAAAUUUAUUUUGAGGGAACCCUUGGAAGUUUCUGCGCCCCUAAUUAUAACCUGUUCCACCAUAAAACUUCCUAUUACAAUUGAAAAUUAACUCUCAAUUCACAGUCAGAAUAAUUUUCAACAAACUGAAUCGGUGGCAGUGAACAUGUCUAGAUUAAGAGCAUAAUCUCUGCAAUUAGCCUUAUUAUUGAUGGCUGAAUGCUCAAAAGUGUUACUCAACUUC
rnacentral:lncRNA from 1 species